rnacentral:rRNA from 1 species
GAGCUUUGAUUCCUGGCUCAGGAUGAACGCUGGCGGCGUGCUUAACACAUGCAAGUCGAACGAUGACCCGGUGCUUGCACCGGUGAUUAGUGGCGAACGGGUGAGUAACACGUGAGUAACCUGCCCUUAACUCUGGGAUAAGCCUGGGAAACUGGGUCUAAUACCGGAUAUGACUCCUCAUCGCAUGGUGGGGGGUGGAAAGCUUUAUUGUGGUUUUGGAUGGACUCGCGGCCUAUCAGCUUGUUGGUGAGGUAAUGGCUCACCAAGGCGACGACGGGUAGCCGGCCUGAGAGGGUGACCGGCCACACUGGGACUGAGACACGGCCCAGACUCCUACGGGAGGCAGCAGUGGGGAAUAUUGCACAAUGGGCGCAAGCCUGAUGCAGCGACGCCGCGUGAGGGAUGACGGCCUUCGGGUUGUAAACCUCUUUCAG